CUGGUUCCACUGCAGGUGUGUGCUGUGACUUCUGCCAGUACUGGUUCCACUGCAGGUGUGUGCUGUGACUUCUGCCAGUACUGGUUCCACUGCAGGUGUGUGCUGUGACUUCUGCCAGUACUGGUUCCACUGCAGGUGUGUGCUGUGACUUCUGCCAGUACUGGUUCCACUGCAGGUGUGUGCUGUGACUUCUGCCAGUACUGGUUCCACUGCAGGUGUGUGCUGUGACUUCUGCCAGUACUGGUUCCACUGCAGGUGUGUGCUGUGACUUCUGCCAGUACUGGUUCCACUGCAGGUGUGUGCUGUGACUUCUGCCAGUACUGGUUCCACUGCAGGUGUGUGCUGUGACUUCUGCCAGUACUGGUUCCACUGCAGGUGUGUGCUGUGACUUCUGCCAGUACUGGUUCCACUGCAGGUGUGUGCUGUGACUUCUGCCAGUACUGGUUCCACUGCAGGUGUGUGCUGUGACUUCUGCCAGUACUGGUUCCACUGCAGGUGUGUGCUGUGACUUCUGCCAGUACUGGUUCCACUGCAGGUGUGUGCUGUGACUUCUGCCAGUACUGGUUCCACUGCAGGUGUGUGCUGUGACUUCUGCCAGUACUGGUUCCACUGCAGGUGUGUGCUGUGACUUCUGCCAGUACUGGUUCCACUGCAGGUGUGUGCUGUGACUUCUGCCAGUACUGGUUCCACUGCAGGUGUGUGCUGUGACUUCUGCAAGUACUGGUUCCACUGCAGGUGUGUGCUGUGACUUCUGCCAGUACUGGUUCCACUGCAGGUGUGUGCUGUGACUUCUAUCAACACUGGUUCCACUACAGGUGUGUGCUGUGGGAUCUAGA